rnacentral:lncRNA from 10 species
CUUUAAUCCUAAAGGAGAUAGGAAGCUAUUGGAGGGUGUGGCAGAAAUAUUUAAUGCUGACGAAAUGUACUCACCUAUAUUUCCAGCCCCUUUGAGUGGGCAGGCCCCAGAGAUCAGCUGUGGCCAGUAGACAGGAUGCAACACAGCAGGGCAGAGGAUGUGUGAGUUCCCUGUGCUCUCUCUUCCACUGACGUUGCCCCAUGAAAGACAAGGCUACAGGAGAAAAGCAGCCUGCAUCUUUGAGUUGCCACUGGAUGGGAGCUUUGCUGGGGUCCCGGAGGGCUACAUCCCAACGAUCCUUCUGGAAUUGAUGUCUGAGAAGAACAAAGUCCCCAGAGAGGCCAACAGGGAAAAGGUCAAGUCAGACCGAAUUUUUCAGGCCCAGAGCUGUGCCUGCUUUGUCCUGAGCUCCAAUUUGGGAAACACAAGAAGAAAUGAAGAUGGACACAUGACAGAGACCCUUGGGCUCCUGGGGGUGGUGGCAGGAGCACGAGUGACAGCUGUUUCCAAAUAUGGACCGAUGACAAGAUGCUUCCAAGAACCAAAAGAUUAGGAAAGAUCUUCUUUUCAUCUUUCAAGUGAAAAACAUAUCUGCUAGCAAGAAUAAUGAGGAUUUGAGAAAUCACUGUGGAAAAAGAAGAUUUGUUUAUAUGAAGCCAGUGACUUUGGCCUGACUGACAUAUGUAAGCACAUCUGACAGAAGCAAAAGCAAACUUAAUAAUCCAAUGGUUAUACCCCAAGCCCACAUAAUUUGAGAAGUGAGCACCUUGGGGGCAGUUUAAAGCAGGGGCUUUGGUGAAGGCAGAUCUUUUUAUUUUUUAUUUUUUAUUUUUAUUUUACUUAAAAAAAGAAAACUGCAGAACAUGCAGGUUGUUACAUAGGUAAAUGUGUGCCAUGGUGGUUUGCUGCACCUAUCAACCCAUCGCCUGGGUACUAAGCCCCACAUUCAUUAGCUAUUUUUCCUAAUGUUCUCCCUCUGCUAGCACCCCCAACCAACAGACUCUGAGAUGUGUUGUUCCCCCCCCCGUGUCCAUGUGUUCUCAUUGUUCAGCUCCCGCUUAUGAGUGAGAAUAUGCGGUGUUUGGUUUUCUGUUCCUUUGUUAUUUUGGUGAGGAUGGUUUCCAGCUUUAUCCAUGUCCCUUUAGAGGACAUGAUCUCAUUCCUUUUUAUGACUGCAUAGUAUUCCAUGGUGUAUAUGUGCCACAUUUUCUGUAUGUAGUCUAUCAUUGGUGGGCAUUUGGGUUAGUUCCAUGUCUUUGCUAUUAUGAAUAGUGCUGCAGUAAGCAUACGUAUGCCUGUAUCUUUAUAAUAGAAUGAUUUAUAUUCCUUUGGGUAUAUACUCAGUAAUGGGAUUGCUGGGUCAAAUGGUAUUUCUGGUUCCAGAUCUUUGAGGAAUCACCACACUGACAGUAUAAAAGUGUUACUAUUUCUCCACAGCCUCGCCAGCAUUGUUUCUUGACUUUUUAAUAAUUGUCAUUCUGACUAGCAUGAGAUGGUAUCUCAUUGUGGUUUUGAUUUGCAUUUCUCUAAUGAUCAGUGAUGUUGACCUUUCUUUCAUAUGUUUGUUGGCCGCAUAAAUGUCUUUUGAGAAGUUUCUGUUCAUGUAGAAAGGCAGAUCUUCUUUCCCUACUAUGGGACCUUGGGUUGGUGUGUCUGUGGUUUCCAUGACAACUCUCAGAUUUGAUGAUUUACUGGAAGGGCUCACAGGACUCAGGAGAGUUACAGUUUGUGACUGUGAAAGGACACAGAUUAAAAUCAGCAAAGAGAAAAGGCACACAGGGAAAGGUCUGAGAGAAAAAAAAAGACACAAGCUUCAAGUUGUCUACCCCCAGCGGAGUUGCGUAAGUGCUUAAUGCCCUAGGAACAGUGUGUGACACACCUGCGAGGUGUUGCCAUCCAGGGAAGCUCGCCUGGGCCUUUGGUAUCCAGGGUUUUUAUUGGGGGUUUGUCAUGUAGGCAGGCAGUGCCUUCAUAGCUGACCUUAGCUACUCAGUCUCCAGCCCCGCCAAGGUCCAGCUGAUAGAGCCUGGCCCAAAGCCCCAAGCAUACAACAAGGGAGCAUCAUAAGCCAC